GGCGGGCCCGGGAGCGCUGCACCCGCUGGAAAGGGGCCGCGGGGGAGCCUCCUCGGCCCGCAGCUCCCUGGCAGGAGGCUGCAACCGGGGGGGCCCGGGCUCUGCUCCCGGGCAGGCGGCGGCAGGAGGAGAGGACACGGCCUCGAGCUGCGCCAGAGGAGGUUUAGGGUGGGCAGUGAGAAGAAUUCCUUCACAGAAAGGAGUCAAACUGCAGACCAGUGCCCUGUUAGCAUGAGGAGAGGGUGUGGGAAUUGUCAGGGUGCUGCUGAAUUCCGGUUUGAAGAGGUGGAUCCCUUUCCUGGGAUGGGCAGGGUGGUUUUCAUCCCUUCUGGCUGAAGCUCCCUGUAAGUUCUCUGGGAUAAACCGGCUCAGCUCUGCUAUGAUCCCACAUCCAACACCUGCAAGCCAAACACAGCCUAGAUCAUCUCUGGAUAGGACUGGGGCAACUUUUGUACAGCUGUCAUUUUAAAGGAUAAUUACAAGCAUGAAUUACAGGAUAAUAAGCAGAGAUACCUUUUUAUCUGCCAGCAAUAAAACUAAUUCCAGUAACCCAUCUCACUGUGGUGGAACCAGGGAAAAGAACUCCUUUGCUGCGCUUUAUGGGAGGAAGGGAACAGUGGAGACUGAGCACUGGUGCUGUCAGUCGGUGUCACUGAGGAGGCAACUAGAACCAGUCUGUCCAAAACCAGCAAAGUUUGGUAAAGCUUUUGAGCUAGGUUAAACUCAGGGAGAGGUUUAUCUGCUUGUGCAGCCUCCCAAAUCACCAGCUGGGGAUGCGCAGGGAGCGGCGGCAUCCUGGCAGCCCAUCUGCCUGCACCAACAUUUCGGGUUGAGUAGACAGAGGAACGUCAAAGAGAGGUCUAAAUGCCCCAAAUGACAAAGAACCUUUUGCUCCCCCAGUGCCUGAUGUCACCAUCUCAGCCAGGGCAUUCAGCAUCUUCCAGGAACCCAGGGCUGCAUCACAAAGGAACAACGGGAUAGAGGCACCGAACCCAAACCCCUGCCUGGUUUUAUGCCUCAUAAACAAACUGCCUCGUAAAUAUGCCUUGUAAAUAAAAUAAAUAAAUACAGUAGUAGUGAUUUCCUUUUGUUUCAUCAGCUGAGAAGCUUACACCAAUGUGAGAUGCUGCCAAAAGUACUGGUCCUGUCCCUGCCCUUACUCCAGCCUUUCUCCCCAUCCUGGUUUUGGCUCAGCACUGUCAGUUUUUGGCUGGGCUUAUUCCAGCUUGCAGGUCAGUGGUGACAAGGGGAGGUGGAAAAGCUCUUCUGGAGCCCCAGCAUCACCCUUUCAUCCCACUCAUUUAUUUCUUCCUUAGCCCUCCUUACGAAAUUUCCCACUGAGGACAUUUAUUUUCCCUCUCACCUUAUUUUUAUCAGCCACUUCAUUUAUUGCCAAUGAACUGAUUUGUUCAAGCUGAGAAGGGUCAGCAGAUAAUGGAAAUAUGUGUUUAUGGGGAAAAGACAGUGCAAAUGCCAAGGAAAUAUGGCUGGGAGGCAGCUGGAAAGCCAAGGUGUAAACAUUUUAAUUUACUGACUAGGGAAGAAUAGAAAAAUCUUUGUUGCUGUUAUUGUCCAAAUAAUAAAAAUGGUAACAGAGCUGCUUUAUAGCCAUUUCUUUGUUAGUUAUAUAUAUUUAAUAGUAAUAUAGAUUUAGAGAUGUAUG